AGGAUGAACGCUGGCGGCGUGCCUAACACAUGCAAGUCGAACGUCCUGUCUCGCAAGAGGCAGGGAGUGGCGGACGGGUGAGUACCACGUGGGUUAUCUACCGUGAGGUGAGGAAUACCGGCGAGAAAUCGCCGACAAGACCGCAUAGCCUCGGUGCAAGCCGAGGAAAGCUUUCUCGAGAGAGGGAGCGCCACACGAGGAGCCUGCGCCCGAUUAGCUAGCUGGUGGAGUAACGGUUCACCAGGGCGACGAUCGGUAGCUGGUCUGAGAGGACGAUCAGCCACACUGGGAUUGAGAACGGCCCAGACUCCUACGGGGGGCAGCAGUGAGGAAUUUUCGCAAUGGGGGCAACCCUGAACGAGCAACGCCGCGUGCAGGAAGAAGGUUUUCGGAUCGUAAACUGCUUUUCUCGGGGAAGAGAACGGACGGUACCCGAGGAAUCGAGCCCCGGCUAACUACGCGCCAGCAGCCGCGGUAA
rnacentral:rRNA from 1 species